AUUGAACGCUGGCGGCAUGCCUUACACAUGCAAGUCGAGCGGCAGCGCGGGGGCAACCCUGGCGGCGAGCGGCGGACGGGUGAGUAAUGCAUCGGAACGUGUCCUCUUGUGGGGGAUAACCAGUCGAAAGACUGGCUAAUACCGCAUGAGCUCGCAAGAGGAAAGCGGGGGAUCCGUAAGGACCUCGCGCGAGAGGAGCGGCCGAUGCCCGAUUAGCAGUUGGUGAGGUAAAGGCUCACCAAGGCAACGAUCGGUAGCUGGUCUGAGAGGACGACCAGCCACACUGGGACUGAGACACGGCCCAGACUCCUACGGGAGGCAGCAGUGGGGAAUCUUGGACAAUGGGCGCAAGCCUGAUCCAGCCAUGCCGCGUGCGGGAAGAAGGCC
rnacentral:rRNA from 1 species